AAAGAAAAUAUGGAAAUGCAAUAGAUUCAGAAUCAUAAGAUGUAGACACAGAAGGAAUCUUGGAGAACAUUUAAAACUUAGGGAACUCUUGAGACAAAAUCUCACUCUGUCACCCAGGCUGGAGUGCAUUGUCACGAUCUUGGCUCACUGUAACCCCUGCCUCCCAGUUCAAGCAACUCUCGUGCCUCAGCCUCCCAAGUAGCUGGGAUUAUAGGUGCCCACCACAAUGCCUGGCUAAUUUUUGUAGUUUUAGUAGAGAUGGGCUUUCACCAUGUUGGCCAGGCUGGUCUCGAACUCCUGACCUCAAGUGAUCCACACACCUCAGCCUCCCAAAGUGCUGGGAUUACAGGUGUGAGCCACCACGUCCUGCCUUAUUAUUAUUUUUGAGACACAGUCUUGCUCUGUCACGCAGGCUGGAGCCAUGUCAGCUCAAUGCAACCUCUGCCCCCCUGGAUUCAAGCAGUUCUCCUGCCUUGGCCUCCUGAGUAGCUGGGAUUACAGUCUUGCUCUGUCAACCAGGUUGGAGUGCAGCGGCGCAAUCUUGGCUCACUGCAACCUCUGCCUCCCGGGUUCAAGUGAUUCUCCUGCCUCAGCCUCCCAAGCAGCUGGUAUUACAGGUGCCCGCCACCACGCCCAGCUAAUUUUUGUAUUUUUAGGAGAGACAGAGUUUCACCAUCUCGGACAGACUGGUCUUGAACUCCUGACCUCGUGAUCCACCUGCCUUGGCCUCCCAAAGUGCUGGGAAAUGACAGGUAUGAGCCACUGCGCCUGGCCAGUGAUCUCUUCUUACUGCACUCUGUGACUUGCCUUGAAUUCCUUCCUGCACAAGAUCCAGGAACCCUCCCUUAGGGUCUGGGUAGGGACCCCUUUUUCUGGCAACAGAGACUUUAAAUACUUUUAUGACUGCCUCUGAUAGAUUGUUCUACACAUCUGUCCUUUUUGUUAACAUGAUUAUAGGAAAUGUAAUUUAGGGCACCAAGAGAAGAUCUAUUCACGGAACACAGGAGUGAAUACACACUGCCUCUGUAUUGAUGGAACUCAUGCUGGGCCAUUAAGUAUUUAUCCAUGUAUGCAAAUGAGCAUUGUUUUCAAGAUAUUGAGCCUCUCCUACCUUUCCUUCUAACUGAUCCAAAUCAGAAUAACCUGAUUGGUGAGCUGAGCUUCACCUCUAACUUGACUUGUUGUUGUGCUGCUAUUGGUAAUGAGGUGAUACUAAGGGACUUUUUAUGUUGAUAGUGUGAGCGUCUCACAUGCAUGGGAUAGGUAGGGUAUGUGGGCCCUGGGUUUUGACUAGGUGAGAUGCGAGGAAAUACUUUUUUCUCUUUUUUUUUUUUUUUUUUUGAGAUAGAGUUUCGUUCUUGUUGCCCAGGCUGGAGUGCAAUGGUGCGAUCUCAGCUCACUGCAGCUUCCACUUCCUGGGUUUAAGCGAUUCUCCUGCCUCAGCCUCCUGAGUAGCUGAGAUUACAGGCACCUGCCACCACUCCCGGCUAAUUUUUUGUAUUUUUAGUAGAAACAGGGUUUCACCAUUUUGGACAGGCUGGUCUCAAACUCCUGGCCUCUGGUGAUCUGCCUGCCUUGGCCUCGCAAAGUGCUGGGAUUACAGGCAUGAGCCACUGUGCCUGGCCUUUUUUUUUUUUUUCACCAUUUUUUGAGACGGGGUUUCACUCUGGCCCAGGGUGGAGUGCAGUGGGACUACAGGCAUAUGCCACCAUGCCCGGCUAAAUUUUGUAUUUUUUAGUAGAGAUGGGGUUUCACCAUGUUAGCUAGGCUGAUCUCGAACUUCUGACCUCAUGCGACUCACCAGCCUCGGCCUCUCAAAGUGCUGGGAUUACAGGCAUGAGCCACCACGCCUUGCCAGAUAUGAGGAAAUACUACCCACUUUGGCAGAGUGCUUUAUCCUUGCUAAAAUACCUUACCCCAAAUGCAAGAAACAAAUCUUAUUCCUGUUUGUUUUUUGAGACGGAGUUUGCUCUUGUUGCCCAGACUGGAGUGCAACUGCGUGAUCUCAGCUCACCGCAACCUCUGCCUCCUGGUUUCAAACCAUUCUCCCACCUCAGCCUCCCGAGUAGCUGGGAUUACAGGCAUGCUCCAGCAUGCCUGGCUAAUUUUAUAUUUUUAGUAGAGACGGGGUUUCUCCAUGUUGGUCAGGCUGGUCUCGAACUCCCGACAUCAGGUGAUCCGCCUGCCUUGGCCUCCCAAAGUGCUGAGAUUACAGGUGUGAGCCACCACGCCCGGCCCUUAUUCCUGUUAUUAUGUGCAGAUAUUGAGAG
rnacentral:lncRNA from 1 species